AAGCAAGAAAAUGUACUAAAAUAAAUAGCGAAAAUACCAAAAACAGCCAACUUCACGUUUAGGCCAAAUUCUGAACGAUAUAUCGAUAGUUUUGCCAUAUUUUGUAAACGUUUAUUUGAAAAAAAGAUAACCGCAUUUUGUUUAAGUUACAAAUUGGAUUCUCUGCUCCAGACCCGCAGUUAUAGGCCCAAUCGCAUUCAUAUAGUCCAUCAAAGCAUCUAAAUCAAAGGGGCCCAGCCUGCAAGAUAUUCCAUGACCACCAGCCGAUAAUGCUGACUCAGCUGCAAUGGCUGGUACUCAGGUAUGGCGCAAUUGGCACAGCGCACGAGUACACGGACCAGCCGCUGGCCCGGCUCAGCCCUUAGAUUAUAGAUUAUCCUCAAUCCGGAGACCUGCAGAAAGCGCUUGGAUGUGGGCGACACUAGACUCGAGUUCAUGGGCGCCACGCCAUCCUCCAGCAGCUGCCACAGAUGCUCACCGCGCAAGUUCAGAGCAUAUAAACGGUUCUCCCACGGACACAUGGCCACCAGCUGUUUGUAGCUUAUAUCUGGCGAGAAUGGAACAGCAUUUAGUUCCAUUUGGGAAUCGAUCUGGUCAACUUACCGCCCGCCGGUAUGGGCACACGAAAGUUGCCCUGGCUGGUCAGGGCGACCGUCACAUUGCUCCAAUUGGCCGCUUGCGCGGAUGCCUCCUUAACGAACUGCAAAGUCGGGAGGAUUAGUAAAGGCAAAUCUGAUUGCCGGACCGAACAACUUAUACGCACGGCAUGGAGCAUGGCGUCCGUGUAGAGAUUGCCCAAAUUGCAUUCGCCACGCGCGCAUUCCGCUUGCUGCAAAUGGACCCGACUGCUGCCCACAAUCCGAUUGGAUGCCUCCUCCACCUGGGCCUGCCAGGGUGCUAGCUCCAAGAGCACGUCCUCGUCUUGGAAAUUAAAGUGUUACAUUUGCAAUAGGCAAUAGACCAUAUGGAUUCAGAGCUGGGGAUUAGGACUUUGGAACAUGGGUCUAUGGGUUUUCUAUGGAGUUAAGGUUUAUUGCCAAUUAUCGAUAGAUCAGACUGUUUCCGCGAUAUCGAUAGGUAUAACAUUUUCGAUAAGUUUUUUCGAACUAUUUCGGAACUUUUAAGAGCUAGGUUGACCAACUUUGUGACCUAGGUCAAUAAUAUUCCACUUUUUGGAGAGCUUUCCCCUGAAAUUUGAAAACCAACCCAAUUUUUUAGGAUAUAGCCUUUGUCUUAGGUAUUUAUGCACAUUCCAAUGCCAGAUUUAUGCCUUGCAAAUUUCAUAAAAAUCGGACAGUAAGGAGCGAAGUUAUUCGAGGACGUAUUUCCUGUGGAGUGGGGCAGGAGGAAAAAGAGAAGGGCAGUGUAUGUAUAUGAGGACAACAGCAAUCUAAAUGCAGGGUUCAGGGUAUCUUCUAGUCGUGCAAUCUCACUUGUUUCAUAUCCGGGCCUAUAUCAAGCAACAAAAUUCCUAUCAACCGAUCUGUUGCUGUCUCUUUGAGAGAGAUUUAAUCAUAGGAGAGCCUUUUUAAGGCUCUCUUAAUGAGAGGAAAAUAAAUUAAAGGCAAUGAAAAAGUG